rnacentral:RNase_P_RNA from 1 species
AGAGUAGACGAGAUGAUCGCCGGUUCCAUCAUCCUGAAAAGGAGCGGAACGGGAGGAAAGUCCGGGCUCCGCAGGACGCAGUGCUCUGUAACACAGAGUCCCGGCAACGGGAAGGAAAGUGCAACAGAAAAUAUACCGUCUCAUAUCAUUAUGAGAUAAGGGUGAAAUGGUGGGGCCGUUUACCGGCUUAAUGUAAGAGCCCACCGCUCUGAUGGUGACAUCGGAGGCAUGGCAAACCCCACUGGGAGAAAGGCUAAAUAGAGAGGGAUGAAGUGGUCCGCUUCGCUAUUACCUCCGGGUAAGCCGUUUGAUCUCGCUGGCAACAGCGAGACUAGAUAAAUGAUCAUCCACGACAGAACCCGGCUUAUUGUCUACUUAUAAU